CUGUGGACUUGAUCACGCAAGUGCCUUCUGCUAUCCGGAGAGCAGAAUAAACUCUUUCUUUGAACCAACUCAGUGUCAUUUGACUUCCUUCCUCCUGUCCCGGAGCAACGCAGACCCAAUCGGUGAACUCCAAUAAGGCUACACCAGCACCUUAAAUCUGACCCUGUACUCCACCGGGAGCCAGUGCAGAUGGAAAAACACUGGGUGAAUAUGCUCCCAUGGCAGAGACCCUGUGAGGAGCCUCGCUGCAGCAUUCUGCACCCGCUGGAGUUUCUGGGACAGCUUCCAGGACAGCCCGCAUAGAGUGAAUUACAGUAGUCAAGCCUGGAGGUGACCGUCGCAUGGAUCACUGUGGCCAGGUCAGGGCGGGAAAAGUAAGGGUGGGAUAUAACAACAACAACAACAACAGUUGUAGGAGAAUGUCCUAAAUAAACCAAAAAGGUUUCUGAGUUGUGAUUGUGUACCCAUCCAUUUCCACUGCAACCAGUGAAAAUAAUGAUUUGAUCAGGUAUGAUCUCACAAUUAAUCCAGUUUCAUGGCAUGAAGAAGAGGCCCCAAAUGGUCUGUUCACCUGGUCUGUUCAGAAUAGCUUCACAAUAGCUUGUUGAAGCAAAUAGCUGCCCCCCACCUCACAAUACAAAUUCCUCAGGAGAACUCAGCUGUACUCAGAAACUCUCCACCUCAUUAACUAGGAGAGACGAACUUACAAGCAAAGCAUCUAUCUCACAUCCAUAGGAGAUGUGCCACCCCUGUUUGCCUGACAAGAAAAAUCCAGAGGAAUUGCAUACUUCUUGUACCACUUUGCAGAAAAAUGUUAAUAGUCAUAUUCCCUUCUGUGUGUGUGAUGGUGCCAAGGAAAGCUCACUGCCCCUGACUGGUGAAUCCUCUUGCUUCUAACAUACAUCCCCAACCCAGCCUUGUGAGAAAAAGAGUAAAGUUGUAAGGUUUCAAAUAUCCUUUGUCGCCCUGUUGAAUAUCUUUAAUGAAUUGUUUGAGAGAUCUAUGCUAUAUUACAUGUCAUAUUUGUCAGCUUCUAGAGCUGCUGAGUGGUUAUAGGCUUGCUUUAUUUAAAAAGCUACUACUUCUUUCUUCCUCUCUCUUUUAUAUUGAAUUAAACAAACCUGUUCUUUUAAUCUGAACUUAACUUUGUUUAAGUUUUUACCUAGCUGGGAUGGGCAUAUCUGAAUUUUGGUUUCUCCCAUUUUCUCACUUUUCUAGUCAGUUCUCCACAAUUUUAGAUCAGUUUGCAAUUUAUUUAUUUUUAAAUAAAACUCACCAGUACUUUAGUGCGCAUUUAUCCCAAUAUACACAUGUUUUUUAUAUGCAAUUUAAAUAGAAGUUUUGGAAGCAACUUUCCCUAAUAUAAUGUCUUUUUCUAUGUUAUUUUUAUGGAUGUACAUAUUUUAUGCACACUUUACCCCAGCGUAUUCAUUUUUUUUAAACACAUCACUUGGCUGCAGAACUGCAUUCCAAAAUUCAGAAAAAUAUGAACUUCAAAGGAUGGUGGUGCUUAGGUUUCUGUAUUAUUUUGCCAAGUGUGAAUAAGGUAGGUUUGCCUUUAAAUGUGAACUAAACUGAAUUUCUCCCCCUGCAAGUCCAGGCAAGAAUCUAGAAAAGCAUUCCCAUCCUUACAAGGACAGCUCAACAACACCAGUAACACAUUAAAAGAGAGAGAGAGAUUUAUUUAUGAACCAUCAUCCUGUUGUCUUAAGCAGGUGAAACUAAAUAUAGACAUCAUAAAAUAGCAUCCUUCAUACCUCCUUUCUCCUCUGCUGUCUCUCAACCAGACUCUGUUCUGUUUACCCAAACUUUCAGUACAAACCUAGGCAUGUCUACUCACUCAGAAGCCUUAUAGAAUUCAAUAGAACUUACUCCCAAGUAAACAUAACUUCAGGCCUGUUUCCUUUCUCACUGCAUUGUGGAAUCUGUAGUUCAGUCAUUCUAGUACAUUUUUUUAAAAAAAAUGUAUCUUACCCACUCAUAAAAUAGCAAGUCUGUGUACAACCAUAGUUACAAAUAAUAAUAAUAAAAAAAGGUAAAGGACCCCUGGAUGGUUAAGUCCAGUCAAAGAUGACUAUGAGGUUGCGACGCUCAUCUUGCUUUCAGGCUGAGGGUGCCAGCAUUUGUCCACAGACAGCUUUCCGGGUCAUGCGGCCAGCAUGACUAAACCGCUUCUGGCAGAAUGGAACACUGUGAUGGAAACCAGAGCGCACGGAAAUGCCGUUUACCUCCCCUCCACAGUGGUACCUAUUUAUCUACUCACAUUGGCGUGCUUUCAAACUGCUAGGUUGGCAGGAGCUGGGACAGAGCAAGGGGCGCUCACCCCAUCAUGGGGAUUUGAACCGCCAACCUUCUGAUUGGCAAGCCUAAGAGGCUCAGUGUAUAUACAAAUAAGGCAAAAUAGUCAUAAAAAAUGAUAACAAACUGAGUAGGUUCGUGAGUAUUUUAAAAGAUGGUACAGUGGUACCUCGGGUUAAGAGGGGCCACUAGGGGUGCAUCGGAAGAUGGCUGACAAUAACAUCUCUCCGACCCACACGAGGUAAUUAGGAGGCUGUGAUGGGAGUAAAUAGCCUCCCUACCCCCCCAAGGUUGUGGGGGGGGGCUGCCUUUGCCUGCUGUGCCCUAUACCACCCCCGAAUUUGUGGGGAUGGGGGCACUAGGCAGAAAGCCCUCCUGUGGGAUCUCGGCGCUCCUGGACGCCGUCUCUGAUCCGCGCCACUAGCUGCAAGAACUUCAAAAGAAGCAAUUAGGAGGAAGCGAAUGCACAUAUUUCAAGGAAGGAGGGGGAGUAAAGACUGCUAACUGAAGAGAUCUCUGAUAAACAAGACGAGUCGGAGGAACAAGAAUAAAUCAUGAGAAGAUACGCCAAGACUCGGUAUGGCAAAGGGACUGAUGGGGGAGGGGAAAAAACUUUCCUUUCUUUCCUCUAUGUGAUUAAACAAGAAUCCCCCCCCCCACAAGUCAGAAAUGUCGUUUUAAUGACUUAAGCUGUGGAUUUAAGACUGUGUGGAGAUAAAGUUUCUAACCAAAGCAUGUUUUAAGAAGACCAUGGAAUGCAUAAGAGCUUUGGAAUGACGCAGUUAAAAAUACCGUCGCCGUGUUGGCAAGCUCUGUCGGAGGACUUGAGUCUGGGAGGAGGAAUAGAGUUGCUUUUGUAUUGUGUGUGAGACUCCUUAGAGGGACUUAAGAACGACAGUUUGCGAGAUAAAUGAUGGAAAGAGUGAUGUUAUUUACGAAAGCGAUGAUAUAUGGAAACCAUCUCGAUAUGAGAAUUGGACGAACGGAAAAAUUCACACAGCGGAAAAAUUCACAUUUGGGGUUUAUCUGCUUAAGGAGAUUAUCAGAAGAGAUCAUAAAGAAAGAAAGAAAGAAAAAGAACAAGAUGAGAUGUGGAAACAGCAAGAUAAGACUGGAUAGAAUUAUGAACUUUAUUUGGACUGAUUUGGAUAUUAACGCAGCAGCAAGAAGAUGAUCGGAAUCCCCCUUCGGAACUUGAAAUAUGGGUCCCCUCAACAAAAAUUUAAAAUUCGGCUUUGCAAUUCGGAAUUUAUGUGAUUUGAUUUGAUUUGAUUUGAUUGGUCAGUUAAUAAAAAUUAUUUAAAAGAACUUAAUUCGUUCUGGAGGUCCAUUCUUAACCUGAAACUGUUCUUAACCUGAGGUACCACUUUAGCUAAUGGGACCUCCCGCUGCCGCCGCGCCGCUGCCGCGCGAUUUCUGUUCUCAUCCUGAAGUAAAGUUCUUAACCCGAGGUACUAUUUCUGGGUUAGCAGAGUCUGUAACCUGAAGCAUCUAUAACCCAAGGUACCACCGUAUUCAAGAGAUGCCUACGGAAUCUCUGCUGUGAGUAUUCUGCACUAACUACCACACUUCUGGCUGAUGCCAUUUGGGCUUCUGAAACCCAUGAGGUUGCAACUCCAAAUGAUUAAAAAACAAGAAAAGGGGUGGGUGAGCAAAGGGGGUAAUGAUGCACACACACACACACACACACACAGAGAGAGAGAGAGAGAGAGAGAGAGAGAGAGAGAGAGAUAGACCAGCUGGCUGUACCAGGUGUAUCAACACAGAGCUGCAGAUUUUCAAGAGGUUAAACCAAGAUUAUCCCUCCACCUUCUUACAUUGACUUAUUUUCUUAGAAUCAUAGAAUUGUAGAGUUGGAAAGGACACUGAGGCUCAUAUAGUCCACUCCCCCCCCCCCCCGGAAUGUAGCAAUAUACCUGUGAGACCUUCUUCCCCCAGAACCAUCUGUAUUGCUUUCCUAGGGAAAAAAUGAGCUACAAGAAGGGAUUAAGGAAGAAUCUGUUUCAAAUGGAUAUAUACACACACACACACACACACACAUACACACACACACACACACACACCAUAUUUUCCGGCGUAUAAGACGACUGGGCCUAUAAGACAACCCACAACUUUUCCAGUUAAAAUAUAGAGUUUGGGACAUACUCGCUGUAUAAGACUACCCCUCUUCCAACGCACACCAUUGCGAGACCACCAUCUUGGACUACGUGGUCUACUACCGGGAGCGGUUAGGGUCAUUCUGUUGCCAGUGAUUGGAGGGGGGGGGCUUCUGGGGGCAAUUUUCAAGCGUAUUUCUGCUUCAUCUAGAGAGCUUGAUGUCCUCUGAUUCAAUUUGCUGUCGUUUUGUCCUUUGGUGGGGAGUUGCUGCAGGAGCUGCUGCUGUAUAAGACGAAGAAGAUUUUCCUGGGUUAAACAGAUUUUCCUGGGUUAAAAAGUAGUCUUAUACGCCAGAAAAUGCAGUACCCAGAAUUUGGCAGUUCUGACCCCAUAGAGUUGUGCUCGAAUUGGACCACCUCUUGUGUUGUUCUCCUGCUUAUGUUUACGUUGCUCAUGCAUUCUUCUUCUUCUUCUUUUAAAAAAAGACUAAUUACUUACAAAUUAUAUACAAAAUAUGCAUUUUAUACUAUAAUAUGCAUAAAAGAGCCAAGCCCUGUACAGCAUUUCCACAACAUAAUUUUAUAAGUGUUCUUAUAUAGUUAUAUGCAUGAUUGUGUGUAUGUGUGUGUGUAUAUAAUGUGUGUGUGUGUGUUUAUGUGUUUGUUACUACAAGAAACCUGGAAUCUUUAUGUUUAAAAUAUGUGUAUAAUAUUAUGUGGAUAUUGUUCCUAUUUUUAGAGGAACAGGGGUGGUAGUGAAAUCCCUCACUUCUCGCUGAGAUCAGGGAGUGAGACAGGAAUGAGAAAAUAUAUAUGUGGAUAAGAUUGACAAUGAGAUUUUUUCAGACAAUGCCAUCCCUAGUUGCAAGAUAUGCCCCUGAAACUAAGGUAGAAAACAGGCAUCAAGCCAUAUCUUAGGUCUGUGCAUUCAUUUCAGAACAAAUGAAAUAUUCUGCCAGGGUUUAUAGGCAUCUAUCAUGACACGGGCUGUAAUGUCAUGCAAAGAAGAGUCAGGGCAGAAAUGAAGUUGUUUAAUCAGUAUAAACAACUGCUAGUAAGCGGAAUCAUGUGGGGAAAACCUAUAGGACGAGAGGUAUAUGUUUUAAGUACUUGCUAGAGCUAUUCACAUUCAUUGGUUUGCUUCUGGCAGCCCUGCACUCAUCAACAAGCAAGGGUAAUGAAACAUGAUUCCCCAGGAUGACUUUUUACUCACACUAACCCCAAAUAUAUCUGCCUACUGGCAUGUUAGCAAUUGGUCUCUCUAGGAAUGAGUAAAUUUAUUGCAACAAAAUUAAUGUUCUGUAUCACUCAGCAAACUUUGCCAUAGAAGAGGAGGGAAAUUCUGCUCCUGAUUUCCCAUUCCUCUGCUGAUCAUCGACUGAGAGCCUUUCCUCUCCCCCCCUCUCCCCCACUAUUUAUUCUGUGUGAAUAUGUCUAGGGGACAUUUCAUACAAACUGAAAACAGAUUGGCUGUCACACCAUGGAGAGAAAUUUCUAAGGGCUGGGGGAAAGAGCAGGAUGGGAACAGAUGAGGUCUGCAACAAGAGGUAGAAGCAGGCAAAAUAUUGAUUUGUUUCUAAUGCGAUUGUUGAAUUAUCUGCAAUAUUGUCUCCUAAACGUACCGCGGUACCUCGGGUUACAUACACUUCAGGUUACAUACGCUUCAGGUUACAUAUGCUUCAGGUUACAGACUCUGCUAACCCAGAAAUAUUACCUCAGGUUAAGAACUUUGCUUCAGGAUGAGAACAGAAAUCGUGCUCUGGCGGCGCGGCAGCAGCAGGAGGCCCCAUUAGCUAAAGUGGUGCUUCAGGUUAAGAACAGUUUCAGGUUAAGUACGGACCUCCGGAACGAAUUAAGUACUUAACCUGAGGUACCGCUGUAUCUCUACUGGUAAAAAAACUGGCACGCUGGCUGUACAACCUCUGCAGCUGGCAGGACUGGCCCAAGACAUUUUGCUGCCCCCACCAUUGUGCCCACACUGCCGUCAGCCUCACCACCACAACGGCACUCCUUUCUGUGGCUGUGCCCACACUGAUGCCACGAUGCAACAGCAGUGGUGAGGGCACAGUUGCAGCGGUGAGGGCAAAGGUGGAAGAGGAGGAAUGGCUUCACCUUACUUCUGGCAGCUGGGCCCUCACCCAACAAAGCUUUGGCUUACACAGUCUAGGUGCCUUCUCUAAUGGCUGAGAAGGCCUCUUAAGUGCCAGACCAGCAGGAGAGGCUGCUGCACCUCCACCUAUUUCAUCCCCAAAACUGGAUCAGCUUCCUAGCUAUGUGGAGAUCCAAAGAGGAUCUGGCCAGGGGUUACACAGUCUUCUAAAGGCCUUCAAGCCUCACCCACAGCCAGAAUGUAUACACAUCCUAUGCCCUUGCGUUUCUCCUAGGGAAGGCACAAAUGUUGCCUGCUCCCAAAUCAUACUGGGUUUGACAGGGGACGAAACUUGGAUGGCGUUGUUGACAUCACCACCACUCCAUGAUUGUCUUCACUGUAAAUCGGUAUCAAACAACGAAGGAAUUAUAAAUCAAGCUUCAAGAACAGAACUUAAGGGCUGCAUUUUCAGCCUGCUAUCGCUAGCAGCUUUCUUGCAAAUGAUUUGUUGUAGUUGAUCCUAUAUGAAAGAGAAGGGAGAGGAGGAGGGAAGAUUAGAAUCGCAUAAAAUCUUUCCCUCAUUUUCUUAUAUCAAUUUUAUCCUCCCGUUGGAAAGAAUGGUGGCCUAUCAAGUCAUUUAUGCGUGGAACAACUUUUUCAAAAAUAAUUGCUCUUCACAGAGACGGGACCCGGUAAGCCCCCCUCCCUCCAUUGCCUGUAUAAUAUAUUUCAUGUAAAUCACAUUCAGAGCCUUUUCAAUAUGUAUUCUGCUUGCUCAAUAGGCCAUAAUGAUUUGUUUGUAAGGACAUUGUCUGCAGUGCACACUUGGGUAUUGCCUAUUGGUAUUUCAUAAAAUGCUGCUUGUUUACUGAAGAGAACAUGGCAGCAGUUCCCGCAGAGCUAUUUCAUCCUAUUAUACUCAGGAGUAUCUUGGGUCUGUAAGAAGUGCCAAAUCAUUGGCUGCCAUGAGACAUCACAAAAUUAUAUCUGCAUUUUUAAUAUUUUCGAGACCUUGAUUUGGUUCUGUUGUGCUUUGUGCUUUGGAAAAGAUUUUUGUGACCUUUUUUGUUGUUAGAGUGUCACUGUCAAGGUUUGAGGCCUGGUCAAACUUUGGCCCAUAUAUGAUGUGGACUAAUAUGAUGGAGUAACUGUUUGCAGUUGCUGUUUAGUGAUAGGUUUUGAAACUGUGGGCAUUUGAAACAGGGUGAAGAGAUGAUUGCCUCUCCAAUUUGCAAAAGUGCCCAUGGUCCUAAAGUCUGGGGAGCCCUGUUCUAGAUGACAUACCCUCCGACAUUUCUCCGAUCAAAAUUCCUAUUCCAUAGUAAUAAUUUUACUAUUUAUACUCUGCCCAUCUUCCUGGGUUGCCCCAGGCACUCUGAGUGGCUUUCAACAUAUAUAAAAACCUAACAAAACAUUAAACAAUUGAAAAACGUCCUUAUACAGGGCUGCCUUCAGAUGGCUCACGGGUUGGAUAAUUCCAUGCUCUCCAACAUUUCUACAACAAAAGUAGGGACAUCCUUGAUUUUGGGAUCAACUCAGAAACUGGGAUGGCUUCUGUAAGUCCGAGACUGUCCCUCGAAAAUAGGGAUACUUGGAGGGUCUGAGAUGAUUGUAUUGGAUUGAGAAACAGAUAUGAGAUUCUUUCACAUCAUACAUGGGCAUCUACUAAGCAAAAUGGGGAAAAAUAUGGAUGUGUAUGGGGGGGGGACACUUUAUUCCAUUAAAUUGCCCAGUAAAUUCCACAUUUUAUGUGAUCUUUCACAAAAUGUAAACGCCACUUUUGGAAGGCUAGUUGGAUCUGGCAGAAGUUUAGCACUAAUUUCCAUGUUAAUUGCUUCCAGAAAAGAAAAAAAAGAUUGCAAUCCUGUUAACUCAGAAAAUCACAGGAGUUUUUCACAGUAUUGUCAUGUGAUGAAAUUUUGGCUGGUAUCCCAGCAUGCAGUCCUUUCCCGCUGUUUGAAAUUUAGGAUGACAUGUCAGUAUAUUGAUGAAAAAGCCACAGUUCCGUAACACAAUAGGUACUGCAGUAUAAAAGAAAUGUUAGAAAUUGGGAUGGAAAUGCUAGUAUUAGAACCAGCAAAACUGAAAUAAACCGUAACACAUUUUGUUAUUGUUGUUGUAGAGAUGAAGAGGGCUCCACUCCCAGGGGCCUCAGAUCUGUCUGUACCUGCCAAAAGUACCUUCCUAUUAAUCUCACCAUGUUGUAACCACCAACCCACAUCUCAAAAGGUCAAGAAUUACAUGGUGGUAUUCAUGAUUUCCCCCCCAUCAUUCUGCAACAUAUCCGAGGUUUUGCUACUGUUUGCCCUAGUUUAUUUUAAUCAGUAAAAAGAGCAAUUUAUAUAUGUUUAUAAUAAGAGGGUAUUGAUUCCACUGAGGUGCAACCAUCAACUUUAUUGAUCUGAGAGAUAAAAUUGUAGCCAAAGUAAAUAUUCAUCUCAUGGGACAGCAAUUGCUGAUAUUCUCCCACAGACACUGCUGAUAAAUGCAUAGGCUUGGAAUAUUUUAAUCAGGAAUAGAGGACCACCUUGCUUUAAUUCUCAAAGCUGGCAGCAAAAUCCUGACCCCAGCAAUACUCAGAGGACCCACUGUUUCAUCAUCACUCUAUGGUCUUUUAAAGUUACCAUGUAAAGAGAGCUGAAUUAAGGAAUAAAAGAAAGAAGUGACUUCUUUUUCAUGAAGAGGAUACGAGCCAGACAUUUGCAUAGAUCAAGCCCUUCUUCCUUCAGUGGCAGAGAACAGCUUUUUAAAAAAGAACCACAAAAAUGCUCACUUGUUACAAUUGAGAGCCAUUCUAAGCUUACUUAAGAAGAAAGUACAAUGAGAACAAACAAGAUGUACCUGUGAGUAAACAGACAGGAUGAAUAACUUUUGUCUAGAUCAGGUCUGGGAAAACUGGACCUAAGGGUUGAUACAUAUCAGCCUUAGACAGCCUAGGAAUGUUCCCUUCCUUUCCUGCUGUAUCAUGGGCAAUGUUAGAAACUCAGAUAUAUAAGCUUGGCUCCAAAUGGCUUCUUAAACCAGGGUUACAGUUGCCAAACGGAAUGCCUAGUUUCCAUUUUUGGGGACCAGAUGGCUCAACAGCCAUAUUUUUCAACAUGACUUUUUCAUUCCUGAAGUUCGUUCUGAUCAUGCAGAUAAAAUAUAAGGGAUCGAAUUCUACAGGAUGUGUUGCUAGUGUGAGAAAACAGCCAAGAUCCAAGGAUCCUCAGGCAUGCACCUCCAGAUAGUCGAGAUGUCAGGCACCAUCCUGGCACCUGGGCAUCUUCACUUGGUCACAAGUGGCUGAUAGCCAGGUGCAAAAUGUGCCUGGUGCCUGGCAAGUUUCAAAUGCUAUCAUGUGUGAUGAUGGGGCGACAAUGGAGUGGGUGCUGAAAUGAUAAGGUGGUGUCUGCCACAGCUACUUUAUGUAGGCCACCAAUGGGAAGCAGGGAUCAGCUGGUUAUUUAAAACAGGACAUUUCACUUCUCUGAAACAGUUCCUAGUUAUCUGGCAACUGCUCACCCCUCCUGAAUUUGGGCUGUGUAGGCUUCCAGGUCCAAAGAAGACCAGGGUUGGGGAACUUACAACCUUUCAAAUGUGACUGGACUACAACUCCCAUCAUACCUUGACAAUCGACAAUGCUGGCUGUGGUUAGAAUUUUAUUAUUAUGGUCACAGACCAGUCACUUACAAUAUCAGGAAAAUCAUAAAACACAAAAAAUCAUAAAACACAACAGGAAUACAUUGAAUUGCAAUUGGGUAUAACAGAGACACUUCAGAUAUAGCAGCAGUUAAAAAUAUAUAUUAAAUCUUGAUCACUAAAAUAUAGCCUAAAAUUAUCAUUUAAAACCUUAAUCAUUUUGGUAGUACAUCUUGUUCCCUAAGUUUUAUGGCAGUCCCACAGAAUUUGGCCACCCUCAGCGUAAUCUCUAGAUCAUUGUCCUCUACCAGGAGUUUUAGACAUUGCUGGCUGUGGUUGAUGAGAGCUAGUGCCCAGCAGACAAUGGGAGGAGCACAAAUUCCUCAUCCCUGUUUUAGACCACUUUUGAACCCACAUUGGUUAUGGAAACCAUCCCCCCGCCCUGGACUUCCUUCUCAUUAUGCAGUUGGAAAGCAAUCUCUGCAGAGUAUAUGGGUCACUGGGCAUGUUGGUGUGCUGCACAUCAGUGAACUAAUGAAUCUGGACCCUGGGGAAGGGGGAAGAAAAGCCUUCUCCUGUUCUCCUGUCACAGCUGUCCUGGCAACUAUGGCUUUAAGGGGAAUGGGAGGAGACUAUUGUGGUGAAUCAGGGCUUGGCCGGCAUUGUGUGAUUCAGAGCAGACUGACAGAGAGCCUCCAAUUCUUCUCUCACACGCAUUUGACUGGGGCACCUAUCAUUUAACUUGGGCUGCCAAGAGCUCCUGAAGUUUGUUUUUGAACCUGAUGUGGGAGAACCUUCAGUGGCAUUCCUGAAUGUAAUUUGCUGGGGACCAGUGGAAGAAGAGGACUAUUGCCUUCAUGCUCUGCUUAUGGGAUUCUUUACGGCAUUUGCUUGGACUGGAUGAAUGUUUGGCCAGAUCCAUCAGGGUUCUUCUCAUGUUCUACAUGUGUUGAAACAUUGGACACUUCCACACCCAACAUAUACAGGUUCCCAGUCAGUGCUUAUGUGGACUACUGCACAGGACUCAAGUUCUGGAAGGUCAACUGCUUCCUAUCUUUUCAAGAGACAUAAUCAAAUUAAAAUAUCUAAUGAGUUCUGAGAACCCCACACUAACACAAUAAUAUGAAGGGGAUUGAUGGUGUUAACACUGCUAUCUUCACUUGGUCACCAUCUAUUUCUAUAUCAGCCUCAGCAGAAAGGUUUUCUGGGGAGGUAUGCUUCUGUCUUGAAAAUGCAAUUUUGCAGCUAGGAAAAUGGCAUUUCUGUUCCUUCCCUCAUUUCAGGCUGGAAGGUGAGAGGGCAGGUACACAGGUUUCACUGCUGUGCAGCUAAUUGUAUCAUUUUAGGCAGGAUUUCAUUUUGAGCUGCUGAGGAAAGGAAAUUAUCUUGGACUACAAAGGAUGAUACUUCUGUCUUUGGGGAGAAGUCAUUAUUAGAAGGCAGAGGGAAGUGACUUGAGGGAAAAUAGGUUUUACUGCAUUUUUUCUUAUGCAUAUGAAGCUGGCAUAGGAGAAAACUGCAGGUCAUAUAGCAAAGAGCUGCACAAGCUUUAAAAAAUCGCCCAAAGUUAAUAGACAUAAUCUGACUCGCUUUACAGAGUGAUAGAUGUUGGGUAAUUUUAUCAUAAGAUGCUAUUUCUUUCUGAACACUAAUUGCAGAGAUGGAAUUCUGUGCUAUUUAAAUGGCAAAACUUAAGUGUGUGUGUGUGUGUGUGUGUGUGUGUGUGUGUGUGUGUGUAUUUAUAUCUAUAUACAUAUAUAUGCUUUAAAAGUGGAGGCUGAAAAGAUAUUGAAAAUGAUUUGUGCCGUUUAAACAUUAACGAGGGUAAUCAUCUUUAGAUGAAAUUGUGCAUUGUUCAUUUUUUGUAACUUCUGAAAAUGAAAGUACCAUAAGAAUAUGGGGAUGAAUAGCUUAGUUGCUGUUAGACUCCACCUCCCACCAGUCCCAGGCAGUAUGGCCAAUGGUUGGUGGGUGGGGGGGGGGAGAGAGAGAGACCUAGAAUCCAACAACAUAUGGAAAGCCAUAAGUUUCCCAUCUCUGGACCAACUCAAACAACACAUUGCUUUCCAUACAAGAGAAAGAGUAAAAGCAUCUAAAAGGGGUGGUAUCUUUGGUGAAAUAUUUGAAUUUCUAUAUGAUCUAAAUCUAUUUAUCUACCUUAUCUGUAUUUGUCUAUGUGAUCCAGCUGAUAUAAGUGUUACGUUUCUGUUUAUGUCACUGUGCAGUUCUUGGAGUCACAAAACUCUGUUGACAUUCCAGACUGUUGGAAGUCUCACAGGAGACGGAUGUUGAAGUUACUGGUUUCCUGUUUCUGUGUACUGUUGUUUUCUGUCUCUCACAGAGAGCAGGCGCAUAUUCUUUUCUGUCUUGUGUAGUUAGAAAUAAAGUAGCAAUGUAGCACAUAAUUCUGACUCCUUCUGCUGCUGUCUGAGUAUUCUGGGCAAUGGAGAGCAUGCCUUCAUUCAAAGGCUUAGGUCGUUAAUCACCGUCGGAGGAGAGCCUGGAUGAGGUUCCAAAGAUACGACCGGAGGAGUAGCCAUUACAGCUCUGUCGUAUGGUGGUUCCAACAAUAACAUCAUAUUCUGAUGUGGUCACUAAUGACAACAUUUUAUGUUCAUUAUCUCGUUGCAUCCAUAAAACCAGUGCUGGAUUACAAGAUAGGCAGAGUAAGCACUGGCCUAUGGGUCCCACAGCUUUUAAGGGCCCCACAACAAUGGAUCCAAAUAAUAUUGAUUUGAUCUUGGAAAAUUACAAAAAUGUAUUGGGAGAUAAGUUGCAAGCCCCUCUCGCAUUUUCACUGCCUAGGGGCAUCCACAGGGUUUAACCUGGCACUGCAUAAAACAACCUACAAAUUAGAUACAUUAUUAUUGUCACAUUGCAGAAUGGGAGUGGGAGACUGUGGUUGAGAUAUACUAGCUAUAGAACAAAAGAGCUCUGCUGAAUCACAGCAAUAGUCCAUUUCGUCUAGCAUCCUGUUCUCUCAGUGGCCAACCAGAUGCCUCUAUAAUUCCCCCAAGCAGAACAUUAAUGCAAUCACAUUCUCCUCACUUGUGUUUGAUCCGCAGCAACUGGUAUUCAGAAGCCUCUGACCCUGUAGGUAAUACCUCGCCAUCAGAGCUAAAAGCAAUUGGUAUCCUUAUCCUCCAUGAACUUGUUUAAACUCCUUUCAACAACAACAACUUUAUUAUUUAUACCACACCCACCUGGCUAGGUUGCCUCAGCCAGUCUAGGCGGCUUCCAACACAUAUAAAAACAUAAUAAAACGUCAAACAUAAAAAACUUCCCAAUACAUGGCUGCCUGCAGGUGUCUUCUAAAAGUAGUGUAGGUCUUGACAUCUGAUGGCAGGGCAUUCCAUGGGGAUGGUGCCACUACCAAGAAGGCCUUCUGCCUAGUUCUCUGUAACCUCACUUCUCACAGUGAGGGAACCGCCAGAAGGUCCUUGGUGGUGGACCUCAGUGUCCAGGCUAAAUGAUGGUGUGUGUGUGUGUGUGUGUGUGUGUGUGUGUGUGAAGAUGCUCCUUUUAAAGCCAUGUUAGUUUGUGGUCAUGACAAAGCGUGUUCUCCUUCAUGGAGAGCACGGGUUGCGGUGGGGUUAACCAGAUACCCCCUGUUGCUGGGCAAGUUGGUUUGGUUGGCCCACUGUGUGAUUGGACUCCUCGAGUUGCUGGGGAGAGUGUGAUGCUGCUAUUAUUGAUUGACAGCCUUGGUUGAUAUAUAUUCCCUGCACGCAGCAUUGAGCGUCCUCUUUUUCGCUGCGUGCAUCAGAUCGCCUGCCCACCCUCCAUUAAUUUUAGAGAGUUUGUUGUGUUUGACGUUGCUAUGCCUCUCAUGGGGUCACCUGCUUUUGGGGCAUGGGCCUGGUAGGAAUUUUAUCCAUUUGGCCGAUUGGCUGGUGCCAUUUGUUUUUUGCCUACUGAGUUGCAAAUCCUCACAACUUGUAAGGUUGCGGUUAGGCAUUGGUUUCUAGAAAAAUUGGUUGGUAGAGGCGUGUGGAUUGGUUGUGCCUACCCCCACAAUGUUGUUACUGCAAGGGUAUUCCAUUAAAGGAAUCCAGGGGCUCACCAUGCUUUUGUCUGCCCCCCUGUAAAGGGGGAUAGGGCCACGCAAGAGCCCCUGGGAGCAUUUGGGGAGAAGUGAGGGUCUGGUACCCAGCUCCAUUUACUCCCCAUAAAAUAUUUUCCCUUACUGACUUCGCAGGAUUGCGGAUGUCAGUGCUGUCCCUGUAUUUUAAUAAAGUUGUGGCCAAAAUUAUGCCAAAAACCUUAACCAAAAAUUAUGGUGUGAAUUUAUUUAGGGGUGGCUUGGGGACAUCAACACACAACAUCACUAUUCGAAGAAACUCUUUUGUUUGUCUUGAAUCUUUCAACUUCAUUGGAGCUCCCCAGGUUCUUGUAUUUUUGUGAUUGGGAAGUGGAAACGCUCCCUAUCCAUUUGCCUAAGGAAUGAUUUGAAGUGUUGAUGAUUUCUUGAUUCAUGCCUCAGCAGCUCCAAUAUGCUAGUUCUCUGUGCUUAAAUCCACUGAUAAAUGAAUAUGCUGGUCCAAACACGAAAAGAUAAAAGAGAGGGAGGAAGAGAAUGAAGAAGAAGAAGAAGAAGAAGAAGAAGAAGAAGAAGAGGAGGAGUUUGGAUUUGAUAUCCCGCCUUUCACUCCCUUUAAGAAGUCUCAAAGCGGCUAACAUUCUCCUUUCCCUUCCUCCCCCACAACAAACACUCUGUGAGGUGAGUGGGGCUGAGAGACUUCAGAUAAGUGUGACUGGCCCAAGGUCACCCAGCAGCUGCAUGUGGAGGAGCGGAGACGCGAACCCGGUUCCCCAGAUUACGAGACUACCACUCUUAACCACUACACCACACUGGCUCCAAUGCUAUUCAAGCAUUAAAACUGUAACUGAGUUUCCCUGUGAGAUCACUCAAACUAUUCGAAGGGAUUCUCAAACAGGCAUCCCUAAUAGUGCUUGAAUAAAAGAUAGAUGGGGAGGAUAAUAUAGCUGCAUCAGGAUAUAAUAAAAAUAAAAGCUCUUCACAGAAAACAGGAUAUAGCCUAUUAUAUUUUACAACUUUAAUAAUGAAAUAUAAAGAGUAAAUUAGCUUGAUACCACCUUGGAAAAAUGACCAAUUUUUCUAUGGUAAAAGACACAAAGCUGACAAAACACUGUCUUAUAUCUUUUUUAAAAAAGGAAGCUCAGGGGAAAAUGUAAGAUUAAAUCAAAGGGUCCAACUACAAUGGGCCUGAGAAAAUUGAAAGAGCUGCAUUUGCUUUUUAUAUACCCCCCCCCCCAUAUUCCACUUGACGUUCAAUAACAGAAGAUCAAAUGCAAUUUUAUCUUGAGGGUUUGAAUCUCUUGGUCACCACUGAUAAAGACAGGUCACUUUAGAAAACCACCAAAAAACUGGGCCAUGCCAUUAACACUUUCCAGUUUAGGAAGAGUUAUGGACUAUAUGGGUACUCCCAGAAGUAAGAUAAAAAUAGGACAGACUGAGAGAAAAGACCCUCUAACAUCUAUUUUAUUAGAGAUCAAUUUAGUUGGGUGGCUUUCAAAGUUCUGGGGGUAUUAUUACAGAUCCUAACUGGGGUGAGGGGACUGCUUUUCAGUUUGAAAUAAUGGGAUUUUGACAAACAAGCAUUCAGCUGAAGUAAUUUGGUUUGGUUUGUUAAAGAGUUUUUCCUCCUUAAGUGUCUACUGGUAACCUAUUUUACCUUGACGUCUUUUCCCACUCCCCGCCCCCACUACUGCUAUUGAAUAACAUUUUAAACCAUCUUUAAAAAAGAUUUUGUGAAUAUUGAUAAUGUGAGUCAAAUCACCAUACAAGUAGGUGUAUUAACCCAGGACAUUAUUUCAAUGCUUUAGAAACUAGCUCUUUAACCUUAAUAAUGGUGUCCAACAAAACCACUGGAGAACAAGGGGGAAAUGCAAGAAAUUGUGGAGUGUGGAAUGCUUCUUUUUUUAGCCAAUUCUUUUUUAUUGAUUUUCCAUUGUUGUUCAGGGCGGAGCUGGAAUCUCCAAACUAACCCUAUGCCUCCUCUGCUCAGCUCAUUGCUUCAAUCCCAUAAUACUAAGGAAAUUCCAACAGUCCUCUCCUUUCCUUUGCUUGACUGAAUCAGCAAGUUUCAAGCUCUCGCCAUUUUCUUCCUCAGUCUAGGAAGGGAAGGGAAUGGAAUUCUGUAUAAAAAAGGAUAUGACUAGUGGACAGGAACAGGGAACAGAAGCAUUCCACACUCCUACACCUUCUGUUCCCUGUCCCUGUCAGAGCCAGUGUGGUGUAGUGGUUAAGAGCGGUAGACUCAUAAUCUGGUGAACUGGGUUCGAUUCCCCGCUCCUCCACAUGCAGCUGCUGGGUGACCUUGGGCUAGUCACACUUCUCUGAAGUCUCUCAGUCCCACUCACCUCACAGAGUGUAUGUUGUGAGGGAGGGAGGAAGGGAAAGGAGAAUGUUAGCCACUUUGAGACUCCUUAGGGUAGUGAUAAAGCGGGAUAUCAAAUCCAAACUCUUCUUCUUCUAGUCAUACUCUUCUUUACAGUAUUCCAUUCCAUUCCAUCUCCCACUCAAUGUGUUCUUCCUUCCCCCCAUCUCACUCAAUACUCAGUCAGUGUUCUGUGACAACUGAGCACAUCCAGUCCAUGUUUGGGAUUCCACCCUCAAGGUUUUCUUUCUAACUUUCCCCCCUCUAUGUACCGUAUUUCAGCAAAGCUCCGUUCUCUGAAACCUGUUGAUACCUCACAUUUCUGUGUGGCUGAUGCCGUUUGGCUACACAAGUGAUGCCACUCACAGCCUGAGUCCUGGAAAUAGAUGGGGUGAUAAUUAGAGGAGAAAUCCACCCAAGAAGGCCACAAUACUAAGAAGCGGCAAUGCUGGAAACAGGUGCAAAGUACUGAAGACAAAUUAUUAUCUACCUUGAGACUCGGAACAAAGCAUGGAACACGACAUAUCUGUGAUCUCGUGGAGAAAAUGAUGCAGAAAAUACAUCUCUUUUUUGGUGGUGGUGGUGGUGGGGACUAAGCUGAAUGACAAAAGGAAGGAGGUGUAAAUGAGCUCGAUGUGCGAUAUAAUGGAAAUCUGUGUCCAGUAAUGAUCAAAUGGGUAUUGGCUGGAUAGUGUGACAUUCUGGGAAGAAGCACUGUCUCUCAUUCCAGUUAAAUGAACUCUGAAUCAAUGCCAUUUUCAGAGUUAUAUUCUCUCAAACUCUUAAAUGGAUCUUACAAUUUCAAACUUGAGGAUAGAUCCUUAAAAGAAACACGCCGACUGGUUAAUUCCUUGCCAGCUUUACAGCACAAUCCUGCACAGGUUUAUUCUGAAGCAAGGCCCGUAGUUUUCAGUGAGGCUUACGUCCAGUAAGUGAG